UCUUGUUUGUUGACGUGGAAGGAUCCUUGGCUGAGGAAGUUCGGAUGAUGCAGAUGGAUAUGGAGGAGGUCACGGAGAAACAGGGGAUUCGGUUGAGGACGUGGUCGAGGAGCAAGGAGGAUGUGAUGAUCCGUGAUUCAUGGGAUGCAUGGAUUCCAGACAUGGAGCAGAGCUUCAACUCGGAUCGGGAUGAAGAUUGAAGUUAGUUGGGAUGGCUAUGGGAUGAGGAUGAAGAGGAGGAGGAUCUGGACGAGGGAGGAUGAGGAUGGGUUGGUUGAAGACGCCGGAUUUGGUGAAGGUUGGAUUUGAAAUGGGAUACGGGAGCUGGGAGUUUGAACAAGAUGGGUUUCGAAUGACAUGCAAACGGGAUGAACACAGACUGAGAUGCUUCAUGGGAUGAGAACUGAUUCGUGAGGUGCGGAACAGAGGAUGAUGCAGUUGGAUUUAGAGCUUAUCCUGUGUCGAUGGAGGAGGCCUUGGAUCGCGGACAGUGGACGUAAAACUACCCAAGUGAAUGGCUGGAUUCAAGCUUACGGCUGCGUGAAACAGAGGAGCUGGAACGGACGUGGAGAAAGAUAAGGAUGCUGGGAUUUGAGUUUAUCCCACGGAGGAUGGCUCUGUUUGAAAUGCUCACGGGAUGGGGAGAUUGGAUAAGGAUGGAACAUGAGUUGUAUAAUCGGCUGGGAGCUUGUGAAUAAGGAUGUGGAAUUUGUUGGACUUGGAGCUGUGGAUAUACUCGGGAGG
rnacentral:lncRNA from 1 species